rnacentral:lncRNA from 1 species
AUGAAAUUGAGGUCCUUGAAAAACUCUCCUAUUCAGAGCCAGGACACUAAAAGCUUAUUCGGAUAUGAGACAAUUGUCCUGAUAUUAUCUAGUCUAGACACACGGACUCAUGAAAGAAGGAGCACCUGUGGAAAUUUCUUGUCCUCUGUGGCAUUUAUGAGGUGGAAGAGAUUGCUGAACUCUGGUUACGGACAGAAGAGAACAACAAGCAGAAAACAUUUCUCUUGGGCCCCCAGGGCCACUGUGGAGUGCACGUUCAUGAUGUUUUAUCCAACUGACUGAUUGUAAGAAGAUGACAGCCUCCAGUCUAGGGGCCUAAUUGUUUAGAUUCAGUUAAAGUCAACAAAUGGGUACUGAGUACACGUGACACGCCGAGCACUAUGGAACAUGCUGGGCAGCCAGAGAGGCACAGCUGUUGUCCUCGGUGCCCAGUCUACUUAGUAGACUCAAGUGGACUCUGUGGGAGAGACAAUGUCACCAUGGAACACUGAACACCCCAAUGGCUUCCUCAAUGCCUGUGCUUCUGCUUCUGAAAUUCUACCGUAGGAAAAUUCAAAGUGCAAAAUCAGGAGAAAAACAGAGCUGAAGGAGGGGACCAAGGUAAUAAGCAACCUGUGAAUCUUCUUUACAGCCAGGAAAUCAACAAAGACACCAAGACAGAGGCCUCCAAAUGUUUUCCUUUGUUCUCCAGCCUUUGUUAACAUAUUUACUAUUGAAAUACAUCGCUCUCUCUGGUUGACAUAUCUGGCCCAGAAAAAUCAAGUGUGUUGCCUUUCUGCCUUGCCUGCAAAUGAUGAGAGUUCUUACUGUAUCGCUUUUCUUUCAAGGCACUUCAAAAUAGUCUACUUGUGUGAUGUUAAUCUCAUCCAUCCGUAGCCUUUAAUUCUCAUAUUCCUUUCAACAGUCGUUUUUCCAAGGCUUUGCGGCGCACCGUGUUCUCUAACCUCUGUCAUACUUUGUUGCUGACUCCCACUUCUUGAUCCUGUUGCUGGCUUCCUGUUGUCCCUGAUUUUCUGUGUGGAUCUUCAGAGACUUUGGAGAGGGAACAGGUUGUAUUUUGCAGAACUGCUGUUUCUGUUUUUAGGGUAACAAUGCAUCUGGUUUAAACUCUUUCAUCAACCCCUGCCAGUGGUCCAGCCCCCACUUCUGCCGAUGGAAGGUCUGGAACAUUUUCACCUUCUGGGAAGACCAGAACUGCAGACACAUUGCAGGCAGUGUCCACCUGGGGAGUGUCUAGCCUUCUUCAGCCUGGCCAGACUCCCCUAGUUGGGCUCCGCAUUCAGGCCUCUCUGACUUACUUCCAGCUCUGGCUCUGCCUCCCUCUCCAUCUCCAGGCUUCUUCCUUCCUGCAUCCCCCCAUACCUGGAGUCUUCUCUAGCUUCUGGGUUGGCCUCCUCCACUGCCAGCUUCCAGCAACCAUCGGCCUCCCAGCUACCCCCGUCCUUCCCAUCAAUAGUUGUGUUUGUUUUCUCAUGAGAUGUUAGGAAAGCAAAUUUCUAGAACUCAUUUAUGAGUGACAACCUCCCCAGGGCUGGAUGCCUGAAACAUACACAUAUAUACCUAUGGGUUAAUGAAUGUAUAUAUGAAAUUUCAAGCAAUAUCAGAGAAGUAUUUGGGGCAAAUCAUCCUAUUCCACUUAAUCUGCUCAUUAGCACCGCCGAGGCUAAAGGGAAAGUAGAAUUCUUGCCUCUAGAGGAGGACAUUUGAUCCUCUAGAGGAAGCCCUUGGCCACUACUAUGCAAACCCCUCAUCCUACUAGCUUUUCUGCUGGACCAUGCAACAGGGACUGCCAUUUCUCAUUAGUGAGGGGCAGCCACUCUCUUCAAGAAAAAGCUCCUCUCUCUGUCUCCUUCACCUCCUGAUUCUCUUUAAACAAAACAUGAUUCAGUCUUCUUGAUUCCUAACAGCCAGGGGUAGGCUCAGAUCCCUGGGCAGAGGCAAGGACACAUAGAUCUGAGUGGGACAAGAUUUAUUAGCAUCUGCAUUAAACCUUCUGCCAGGUUCACUCUCCCUUCCUUUGUGGCAGCCCACAUGUGCACUCCAGGAGUGGCUUUUCUGGCACAGUUUAUGGCUCCUGUCCGGCACAAUAGAAUGAGAAACGAUAGGCAUCCAAACUGAGACAUGGACAGAAAAGUAGGGAGGGCCUUGUCAGAGAGUGCAAGUCAAUCUAGUAAAGAACUAGUAGGCAUGGCGAGGGCGGGGGAGAGAGAGGAACAAUAUUGUCAAGAGAGUGGAAAAGAGUUUGGGGAUCUGGCAUAUGAGAGCCUCUGGGACAGCUGCGAGUUGGCAAAAACUGGAGCGUGCAGGAGGGAAUGUGAAAAGUGUUUUUGGCUUAUAAAUUAGUCUCUUUAAAGUUCAUCCAGAAAUGCAAGUAAAGAACAGCUUUCUUUCCUUUUUUUUCUAUUUCUUUUUAAAAUUUAUUUUUUAAAAUCACUUUUUGUUGCCAGAUUGUGCUUCCUUAUAAGCAAGUCAGUGCAGACAUAGAACUGGGAUUCACCUAUAACAAAAAUUCAGAAUUUGGCAUGCAGGUACCAUGAUUUUCUGCAACUUGCAAAAAAAAAAAAAAUCAAGGGAUUAUUAUCUCUUAUCCCAUGACCAACUUCUCAUAUUGGAGACUUCCCUUUUCUUCCCCUCCCCUGCACCCAGAGGAAUAAAGGCAGGUUUGGAAUUUCUGCCA